rnacentral:sRNA from 1 species
GCGUUGUAAUUUGUAGAGGAUGAUUCGGCGAGGGCUCCCGCCUAAGUCCCCUGGAACGGGGCGUCAUAGAGGGUGAGAAUCCCGUAUGCGGUGGGCUGCCUUAGCCAUGUGAAUCUCCUUCGACGAGUCGAGUUGUUUGGGAAUGCAGCUCUAAAUGGGAGGUAAAUUUCUUCUAAAGCUAAAUACCGGCCAGAGACCGAUAGCGCACAAGUAGAGUGAUCGAAAGAUGAAAAGCACUUUGGAAAGAGAGUUAAAAAGUACGUGAAAUUGUUGAAAGGGAAGCGCUUGCAGCCAGACUUGUCCGCAGUUGCUCAGCCGGUCUCCUGACCGGCGCACUCUUCUGCGGCCAGGCCAGCAUCAGUUCGGGCGGUCGGAUAAAGGCCCCGGGAACGUAGCUCCUCUCGGGGAGUGUUAUAGCCCCGGGGUGGAAUGCGGCCAGCCUGGACUGAGGAUCUCGCUUCGGCUAGGAUGCUGGCGUAAUGGCUGUAAGCGGCCCGUCUUGAAACACGGACCAAGGAGUCUAACAUCUAUGCGAGUGUUUGGGUGUCAAACCCAUGCGCGUAAUGAAAGUGAACGGAGGUGGGAACCCUCGCGGGUGCACCAUCGACCGAUCCUGAUGUCUUCGGAUGGAUUUGAGUAAGAGCAUAGCUGUUGGGACCCGAAAGAUGGUGAACUAUGCCUGAAUAGGGUGAAGCCAGAGGAAACUCUGGUGGAGGCUCGCAGCGGUUCUGACGUGCAAAUCGAUCGUCAAAUUUGGGUAUAGGGGCGAAAGACUAAUCGAACCAUCGACUACUAGGUGGUUAAGAGGUGGCUGAAAGUGCCCACCUAGUCCCCCCGUCCGAGGACGGGGGGGCGACAUCGCCAAAUUGCGGGGACUCCCUUAGAGCCUCUACUACCGCGGCCGGCCGAAAGGCGCGGUGCAGCACCGGGUUAAUUGCCUAGGGUACGGUAAAAAGGUAGAGGAUUGGGAAAUCCGCAGCCAAGCGCCUAAGUCCCGCGGGAUACGGCGAAGGUUCAGAGACUAGAUGGCGGUGGGU